AAUAAACGCUGGUGGCGUGCUUUAUACAUGCAAGUCGAGCGGAGAUCAGCUUGAAGCAGAAGGUGAUUAAUUCACACUUUGUGUGAGUUAUGAACUUUCUGUGAUGGUUGAUCUUAGCGGCGAACGGGUGAGUAACACGUGGAUAAUCUGCCCUUGAGACCGGGAUAACAUCUCGAAAGGGGUGCUAAUACCGGAUAAAAUUACAGAAAGCAAUUUCGGUAACCAAAGUUGGAUUUUCAAAGUUCUUCGCUCAAGGAUGAGUCCGCGUCCUAUUAGCUAGUUGGUGAGGUAAAGGCUCACCAAGGCAAUGAUGGGUAGCCGGCCGGAGAGGGCGUACGGCCACACUGGGACUGAGACACGGCCCAGACUCCUACGGGAGGCAGCAGUAGGGAAUCUUCCGCAAUGGGCGAAAGCCUGACGGAGCGACGCCACGUGGAUGAUGAAGGCCUUCGGGUCGUAAAAUCCUGUCAGGGGGGACGAUGGUCGAUCUUCGGAUUGAUUGACGGUACCCUCAGAGGAAGCUCCGGCCAACUACGUGCCAGCAGCCGCGGUAAUACGUAGGGAGCAAGCGUUGUUCGGAUUUACUGGGCGUAAAGAGUGCGUAGGCGGUUAUAUAAGUCAAAGGUGAAAUCUUCACUUUCAAGGUGGAAACUGCCUCUGAUACUGUAUAACUAGAGGGCAAGAGGGGGAAAUGGAACUCUGGGAGUAGCGGUGAAAUGCGUAGAUAUCCAGAGGAACGCCGGUAGCGAAGGCGAUUUCCUGGCUUGCAUCUGACGCUGAGGCACUAAAGCUAGGGUAGCGAUCGGGAUUAGAGACCCCGGUAGUCCUAGCCCUAAACGAUGGGUACUAAGUGUGGGGGGAGCAUUACCCUCCGUGCUGAAGCUAACGCGUUAAGUACCCCGCCUGGGGAGUACGGUCGCAAGGCUG
rnacentral:rRNA from 1 species